rnacentral:rRNA from 1 species
CUAUCAGCUUUCGACGGUAUGGUAUUGGCUUACCGUGGCAGUGACGGUUAACGGGGGAUUAGGGUUCGAUUCCGGAGAGGGAGCCUGAGAAACGGCUACCACAUCUAAGGAAGGCAGCAGGCGCGCAAAUUACCCAAUUCUAACAGUUUGAGAGAGGUAGUAACAAGAAAUAACAAUACAAGGCAGUUAAAAUGCUUUGUAAUUGGAAUGAUAGAAAUUUAAACCCUUUUUAAAGUAUCAAUUGGAGGGCAAGUCUGGUGCCAGCAGCCGCGGUAAUUCCAGCUCCAAUAGCGUAUAUUAAAAUUGUUGCAGUUAAAAAGCUCGUAGUUGAAGUUCUGCUAAAAGUAACCGGUCUGCUUUUAAUAAAGGUGGUAUCUUGGUGUGUAUUUAGCAAUGAUGUCCUUUGAAGUGUUUUUUACUUUAUUGUAAUAAAGCAUAUUCAGGACUUUUACUUUGAGAAAAUUAGAGUGUUUCUAGCAGGCUAACGCUUUGAAUACUGCAGCAUGGAAUAAUAAGAUAGGAUUUUAGUUCUACAUUAUUGGUUUUAAGAGCUAAAUUAAUGAUUGAUAGGGACAGUUGGGGGCAUUUGUAUUUAACUGUCA